rnacentral:tRNA from 1 species
GCGAGUCUGGCCGAGUGGUUAAGGCGUUGUGUUUAGGUAGAUCCUCAGGGCAUUACUUGAACCGCAAUGGGCAUCGCCCGCGUAGGUUCGAUCCCUACGGCUCGCA